GUUUUGAAUUUGCAGUAACAGGUGUGAACAUUCUAGCAGCAGUUUGAUGAUCAUGUAUGAUACUGCAAACAA
ensembl:miRNA